GAUGAACGCUGGCGGCGUGCCUAAUACAUGCAAGUCGAGCGAACAGACGAGGAGCUUGCUCCUCUGACGUUAGCGGCGGACGGGUGAGUAACACGUGGAUAACCUACCUAUAAGACUGGGAUAACUUCGGGAAACCGGAGCUAAUACCGGAUAAUAUAUUGAACCGCAUGGUUCAAUAGUGAAAGACGGUUUUGCUGUCACUUAUAGAUGGAUCCGCGCCGCAUUAGCUAGUUGGUAAGGUAACGGCUUACCAAGGCAACGAUGCGUAGCCGACCUGAGAGAGUGAUCGGCCACACUGGAACUGAGACACGGUCCAGACUCCUACGGGAGGCAGCAGUAGGGAAUCUUCAGCAAUGGGCGAAAGCCUGACGGAGCAACGCCGCGUGAGUGAUGAAGGUCUUCGGAUCGUAAAACUCUGUUAUUAGGGAAGAACAAAUGUGUAAGUAACUAUGCACGUCUUGACGGUACCUAAUCAGAAAGCCACGGCUAACUACGUG
rnacentral:rRNA from 1 species